rnacentral:rRNA from 1 species
GCCCCGAGAUGAGUUCUCCCUGACCCUUUAAGGGUCCUGAAGGAACGUUGAAGACGACGACGUUGAUAGGCCGGGUGUGUAAGCGCAGCGAUGCGUUGAGCUAACCGGUACUAAUGAACCGUGAGGCUUAACCUUACAACGCCGAAG